GAGAGAGAGAGAGAGAGAGAGAGAGAGAGAGACAGAGAGAGAGAGAGAGAGAGAGAGAGAGACACAGAGAGAGAGAGAGAGAGAGAGAGAGAGAGAGAGAGAGAGAGAAUUUGGCCUUUACUACUAUAGCUCAUAGAAACGCAUUGAACAACACAUUCCUAAAUGGCAAAAAAGACAGUAAAAAAAUAAAUCAUAAGGAAUAAGGUUUUGAAGUGUCUGUCCUAUAUCUAGAAGAUAUAAGAAAGCUCAGGAAAUAUUGAUACUUCUUUGGACACAUAUUUAACCCCUUAUUUUUGUUUCCACAAAACUACCUCCAUUCUUCCAUUCAUUUGUAUGGGUUACAUUCAAACGAGACCCAUGACACUUGUGGGGUUCGUAGAGCAAAACGGAGAACACCACCUAAAUUAGUUUAUAGCCCAAAUGGUUGUUUUCAUGAAAAUAUCUAUUUUCGGGAUGUUUCCUGGUCUUUUAUUUUACCUUUAUUUAAGUAGGCAAGUCAGUUAAUUAUUAUUUUCAAUGACGGCCUAGGAACAGUGGGUUAACUUCCUUGUUCAGGGGUAGAACAACAGAUUUUGUACCUUGUCAGCUUGGGGAUUUGAUCUCACAACCUCUAGGGUUACUAGUCCAACGCUCUAAACACUAGGCUAUGCUGUAGCUCAGCCACCUUCCCACCGCGGAUGCAGAAGGGCCGCCAUUGGUGGAUGCGGUGGAUUGAGACACAGCCCGUGCAAAAAAAAUACAGAUAUCUCGAGCUUAAACAGACGGAUUUUGAUGGGGGAUUAUUUUAUUAUAUUACUUAUUAUGUGUUAGACCUUAAGGAUUAAUAAGAAAAGUUUAGUAAAUUACCAGGGGUUUUGCAACCCUAUUCUUACAUCCAGACAACAGUCAAAUAGACUGAAAAGAUUCAUAAAAAUGGAAUACAUGCGUCUUAAUUAAAGCUGGAAUCCUUAACUUUUUAGUGACAGGAGGCAGUAUUCGGAAAUUUGGAUGAAUGACGUGCCCAAAUUAAAUUGCCUACUACUCGGGCUCAGAACGUAGGAUAUGCAUAUUAUUAGUAGAUUUGGAUAGAAAACACUCUGAAGUUUCUAGUUUCUAAAACUGUUUGAAUGAUGUCUGUGAGUAUAACAGAACUCAUAUGGCAGGCAAAAACCUGAGAAAAUAUCCAACCAGGAAGUGACUUGUAGUUCUUCUAUCAAAUCCCUAUUCAAACUACAGUGUCUGUGGGGUCAUUUUGCACUUCCUAAGGCUUCCAUUGGCUGUCAACAGCCUUUAGAAACUUGUUUCAUGCGUCUACUGUUACUGGGCAGAGAAUAGGAGCUCAGUCAAUCAGUGGACUUCCUGGGACCAGUGAGUUGUUUACUGCGCGAGCACAUUGGCGCGCCUCUCCUUUUUCCUCUGUAAUGAAUACGCUAUUGUCCGGUUGGAAUAUCAACGUUUUAUGUUAAAAAGACCCUAAGGAUUGAUUGUAAACAUCGUUUGACAUGUUUCUAUGAACGGUAAUGGAACUAUUUGACUUUUCGUCUCUGGUUCUGCGCUCUCGCGUUAUGCCUUUGGAUUAGUGACCUGAACGCGCGAACAAAACGGAGGUAUUUGGACAUAAAUAUGGAGUAUUUCGAACAAAAAUAACAUUUCUUGUGGAAGUGGGAGUCCUGGGAGUGCAUUCCGACGAAGAUCAGCAAAGGUAAGGGAAGAUUUAUAAUACUAAUUCUGAGUUUAGUUGACUCCAGAACUUGGCGGGUAACUGUAUAGCUUGCUUUGAUGGCUGAGCUCUGUACUCAGAAUAUUGAAAAAUGUGCUUUCGCCGUAAAGCUAUUUUAAAAUCUGACACAGCGGUUGCAUUAAGGAGAAGUAUAUCUAUAAUUCUUUCAAUAACUGUUGUAAAGUUUAUCAACGUUUAUGAUGAGUAUUUUUGUAAAUUGAUGUGCUCAUUCACCGGAAAUUUUGGUGGGAAUACAUUUUCUGAACAUCACGCGCCAAUGUAAAAUGGGGUUUAUGGAUAUAAAUAUGAACUUUAUCGAACAAAACAUACAUGUAUUUUGUAACAUUGAGUCCUGGGAGUGCAUUCCGACGAAGAUCAGCAAAGGUAAAGGAAGAUUUAUAAUACUAAUUCUGAGUUUAGUUGACUCCAGAACUUGGCGGGUAACUGUAUAGCUUGCUUUGAUGGCUGAGCUCUGUACUCAGAAUAUUGAAAAAUGUGCUUUCCCCGAAAAGCUAUUUUAAAAUCUGACACAGCGGUUGCAUUAAGGAGUAGUCUAUCUAUAAUUCUUUCAAUAACUGUUGUAAAGUUUAUCAACGUUUAUGAUGAGUAUUUUUGUAAAUUGAUGUGCUCAUUCACUGGAAGUUUUGGUGAGAAUACAUUUUCUGAACAUCACGCGCCAAUGUAAAAUGGGGUUUAUGGAUAUAAAUAUGAACUUUAUCGAACAAAACAUACAUGUAUUUUGUAACAUUGAGUCCUGGGAGUGUCAUCUGAUGAAGAUCAUCAAAGGUUAGUGAUUCAUUUUAGCUGUAUUUCUGGUUUUUGUGACGCCUCUCCUUGCUAGGAAAAUGGCUGUGUGGUUGUUCUUGUCAAGGUGAUGUCCUAACAUAAUCUAAUGUUUUGCUUUCGCCGUAAAGCCUUUUUGAAAUCGGACGCUGUGGUUAGAUUAAGGAGAAUCUUAUCUUUAAAAUGGUGUAUAAUACUUGUAUGUUUGAGAAAUUUGAAUUAUGAGAUUUUUGUUGUUUUGAAUUUGCCGCCCUGCUAUUUCACUGGCUGUACCGCAGGUGGGACGCUAGCGUCCCACAUAGCCCAUACUAAUUGUAACGUCCGCUUUGCAAUAUUACAACAACAAAGAAGUUACUGCAAACAACAAACACUGUUUUUUUCCCCUUGGACAGCAUUGUGUAAUUUAUUGAUGAUCCCUAACUACCCCCGGCGAUCGUCAAUCCGAAGUCAAAACAAAUUUGCCAUGGUUGUACAUCAGUCGGCUGAAGCUAAUUGGCGAAACAACUUGGCAAUAUCUUCCCACCUGCAAACACACAAAAGAGACACCCCGAAACCAACUCACGUUUUAAUUCAGUCAUAGCAUUUAUUAAUUUACCAAAUCUAAAAUGAGACCAAAUCAGGAAGAGCAGUCACCCUUGACAUUUGUAUUAAGUGGUGGUCUUAAAAAAGUGGAGGUUCGUUGCAGGUGGACAUUCGCUAUAAGACAGGAUUUCACAGCUGCACCUUUACUGAUACCUGGCUUUGUGUCAGUGGGGACUGUGGGACUCGGACUAGUCUAGUGGUUCAGACAGUGGACCAGGAGAUAUCCGGAGACUGGUGUCAGACAGAGGGACGCAUGACUAGACACGUCUCCAAUAACACACACACUUUUGAACUUCGGUGAGUGACGUUUGAUCUGCAUUAUAUGUGAUGUCAUCAGUUCAUUUUGAUUAAAUGUUUUAUAACUUACUUAGAUGCUGUAUCUUCCAUCCAUUACUAAUAUGUUUAUGUACCUGAUCUGUAGUUACAAUGUACAGCUAAGUUAUUGCAUCCUGGUAACCGAAGUAGUUAUAGGGGACAAUGGGCAACAUACAUAUCGUCCCAUUUCUGGGCAACAGUAUAAAAAGGAAAAAAACUAAACACAUUGAUGAAUACACACAGUACUGUACGUGAUGAACGACUUACCAUAUACAGUAACAACAAGAGUGUUUAGGCGUGUUCAAGGUGUUUGCUAACUAUCAUUCUUCUCUGUCUCUUACAUCAUCACAGUAUGGAUGGGGGUAACUGGUUAUCUACCACUAAUAAUGUUGUUGGUUGGAGGCUGGUGACUCAUGUGGAUCUUGGGGUCAGGUCUGACACAGGGAAAGCCAACCGAUCUCCACAAACCACCGUCAUACCUCUGAUGCGUGUCCCAGUCAAUUGUCGAAGAGAUUUCAACAUGUUGUCCUUUGACCCAGAUGGGGAUGCGGUCAGAUGCAGAUAUGCAGUACCAACGGAUGAGUGUGUCACAUCUAGUAACCUUGCCGGUGUUAACUUCACUCUGCGAUGGGUUAGUAUCCAAAUGACAGCAAAAUAGACGGACUGACAGCAAAACAGAUGGACUGACAGCAAAAUAGACGGACUGACAGCAAAACAGAUGGACUGAUAGCAAAACAGAUGGACUGAUAGCAAAACAGAUGGACUGACAGCAAAACAGAUGGACUGACAGCAAAACAGAUGGACUGAUAGCAAAACAGAUGGACUGACAGCAAAACAGAUGGACUGACAGCAAAACAGAUGGACAAUAAUGAUGAAAGUAAUUGAAAGGGAAAACCAGUUAAGAGUUAUAUUUGGUAUAUUGGGAGUUGGUCAGUUAUUGUUGAUUGUUGCGUGACAAUAAUGUGAUUGCUAUAAUUUUCCAGGUUGAGCGUUCCAAGUUGGUGUAUCAGUGAAUACUGCCACCCAGUGGAGAGAAGUAGCUAGUGGAACAAGACAGGACCUGUAGGAAGAGAAGUACAACUUGUGUAGUUUAUCGGUCUGGCUAGCUGUCAGCUGUGCGCUCAGCAUGGGGAUGUUUUUGUGAACCUCAGUAAAGAAAAGGAAAGUUAUUUAUCUGAAAUGGCACCGCAUAAAGGGGCAGUAUGCAGUUCUAACAAUAGCAAAGCCGUGACACCGCCACUGUUUCGGUAAACAGCUGAAGGGUAGGGUUGGAGAAAUGUAGCCAAUCUAAAAGUCAUAGACAGAGCUUUGGAUGCAAGGGCUCCAUGAUACCAAAUGUAUAGUUUUAACCAUGCUUUGGGGAUAUACAUUGUUUGUUUACAUUUAUGUUGUUCACAAACAAUAGAGUAAAACAAGUUUAUAUUUUGGGUUCUGAUGGUAAAUGACAGUUGAACUAAGCCCCCGAGGCAUUUAUAAAUUAUAUUCUUCAAGAAUCAAUGGGUUUAUAUAAUCGAUUUAAACGUUUUUUUUAAAAAGAAAAAAAAAUGUGUAUUGCUCCUUUAAUCUUGUCUCCUUUAGGACUGCACCUUGUCGUUUUGGAGCAACACUAAUACCACUGGAAUAUACGCAGUUCAGAUGAUGAUGGAGGACUUCCCUACUCAGUCUAUCUCUCUUUCCUAUGCUAAUAGUCCCUCAAUCUAACAGGACCUCUGGCCAUACACUCAGCAAACUGCCUGUUCAGUUUGCAAUGACAGUCGACCCCGUGGUGCCGUCCUGUACGGAGGGGGUGUACAUACCCAUGUUCCUGUCUCCAACGCCAGCCCAGGGAGCACUGCUCUACGCCGCCGCAGACCAUCCCCUGGAGAUCAGUGUCAGAACACAGGCUACCCACUCCACGUAAGAUUAAAGAAACGUGAAACCCUUCACUUGGCCAAUAGCCCGACAUGGGCUAUUAGCUAUUAGCCCAAUAGCCUAAACCACGGCUGUCAAACUCACUUCCUGGAGUGCCAGGUGUGUGUGUCUCCAGGUAUUUUCUCCUCCCUUGUACUUGAUUGAUAUAUUUAGGUCAUUGCUUAUUAGGACCUCCCCUCACCUGGUUUUCUAGGUCUUAAUUGGACACAAAUUGAAAUGAAAUAACAGAAACCAGCUGACACAUGACCCUCCGGGAACUGAGUUUGACACCCCUGGACUAACGCAUCAUGACAGUCAGCGAAGCACUUUGUAAAAACGAUUUGUCCCCACCGGGUGGAAAAACUGACUGUGUAUCUAGACCUUAGAGACAAUGAUGACGUUAGUUUACACUACAGAAUACUCAGACAUGUGCAAAACUGAUCUGUUUCCUGUUUCCUGUUCUGCACGUACAGUAAAUAACUAAAUACAUUCAUAUGGGUAAUUCAUCCGCUUUAUUCAUUACUUUUUGUACCUACAACGUUCAGUACAUUCCACUGGGCAACAUUUUCAUAGUACAAAGGGAUUGUGCAAGGCGUAAAAAAAUUAACCAUAAACCUUUAUCAUAUUCUGUCAACGUGAUUUAUUUCAAAACUUUUCUUUAACAAUGUCAGUUACAAAGGUUGGACUAUUCGUGUGUUGCUCAAUUGACCUAACUCUAGUUAAAACAUUGACUCCUUAUAACGCACAAUGUUGAAGAAAAGUUUCAAAUUAAAUCACACUGACAGAUGAUAAUACAGUUUAUGGUUAUUUUUAUACUUUGCACAUUGUCUUUUUGCACUAUGAAAAUGUGACUCAUUGUCUUUUUGCACUAUGAAAAUGUGACUCAUUGUCUUUUUGCACUAUGAAAAUGUGACUCAUUGUCUUUUUGCACUAUGAAAAUGUGUCCCAUUGUCUUUUCGUCCCCCCGUGCGUAAGUGCUUCAGAGCUGUUGAUGAGUGGACCUGGCAACAUCAGAGAGACCACCACUAGCCCAGGAGAGUACCUUCUAAGAUGGACGCCUACUGAUGAUGAGGAGGGAGGAUACUAUCCUGUGUGCUUCAUUGCUCAGGGAGUGCUCGGCAGGUCAGCCUGCCGCUAGUGAAACUUAGAUCACAACAGAAUGUGUUCUCAAAGACAUACCGGAUUAAAUAAAGGCUAAAUUAAAAACUAUAAAAACUUCAACUUGAAACUUGUUUAACCAGACAUUUCUGUAGUCUACUAUUAAGACUAUUGGAUGUGAAUGCCUUUAGUUGAUUGGGUAAUAUGAUUGGAGAGCAGCGACAGCAGACAGGAAGAAGUUAUCACUGUCUUUAACCACUACAUUGGUUUGUUUUAUUUUGUAACUCUUUAUUGAAAUGCUGUGUAAACAGCGCAUCAGUUGUUGUCACUUCUGUUGAUGUCAGUUCCAGGUAUCACUCUGAGCUGCGCUGUGUGAUCGUCAGCGUUAACUCAAGUGCCAUCACAACCACACCGAUUACAACUACAUUUCCAACUACCACCCAACCAACUAGGGACUUCACAACAUUCAGUACAAAUCCAACCACCGAUCUCACAACCAAAAAUAUGGACAAUACAACAAUGAGUAAUGGGCCUAGAUACACGGUUGGUCUGAGGAUGAAACUCUCCUCUCUGACAUCAUUAACAGAUGAUCACAUCAGAGAAAUGGUCUUAGAGAAGCUCCGUGAGGAACUGACCAGACGAGGGCAGUCAGGGAAUGUCACACUACGCCUGAGAGCCAGUCAAGAGAUCAGCCCCUGAAGGGGUUUCUUGUACUCAGUUGUCUUAUGUUCCUGGCCCUGAUUCUGCAGACAGUGGUUCUUUUGAAGAAGAUGGGUUUACUUGACUGUAUAUGGUUGUCUUUUACAAAUCUCUGGUGGACAGACGCAUGUGCCACAGUGGAGGCUGCUGAGGGGAGGCUCAUAAUAAUGUCUGGAAUGGAGUAAAUUAAAUGGUAUCGAACACAUAAAUGUGUUUGAUACUAUUCCAUUCACUCCAUUUCGGCCAUUAUUAUAUGCCGUCCUCCCCUCAACAGCCUCCAUUGAUGUUACAUACAUGGUAUGGUGUGAGAUUUUAGUUCUGGGUUGUCAAGAUUAGUUUUGUUUUUACUUACCUAAGUUGAAUGCUCUGGCUGUAAGUCGCUCUUGAUAUCUGUUGAUUAGUUAUAUUAGUUAUUAAUUCAAAUGUGUGUGAGUGUCUCUAUAAGUAUUGUUCUUGUCAGUACUUAUUUUGUUAUGAAUAUGUUGUACUGAACAAAAAUAUAAACGCAACAUGUAAAGUGUUGGGCCCAUGUUUCCAUACUCACAAAAUGCUUUGUUUCUUACAAAUAUCUCGCUCAGAAAGGUGGGUGGAAUUAUGAGGGAAUUAAGUCCAGGUCAGAAUACGUCGUAUCUUCAGCCACAUCUUCAUGUAUUUGAACUCCGCCCCAAACGAAUAGCGAGCGACUUUAUUCUCAUUCUUAAAUUCAGGUCAGAAUAUGUGUAGAGAGAAACGUGCAUCAAAGGGAAUUACAUUCCAUUUACACGUGCUUAACUCAGGUCAGAAUUCCACCUCACAUGUUCGAGGGAUACUACACUGUGUAGUAUAGUAUUCUACAGUAUACUACAAAAUAGUAAGUACUAUAAUAUUCUGUAGUAUUUAUGUGGGUUGUUCAGCUGUCUAAGCUGCUGCCUCUGGAACAUACUGUAUACCACUAGGCUCACUGCUAUUUAAACAACUCUCUGUAGAUGGGGUGGCAGGUAGCCUAGUGGUUAGAGUGUAGAGGUGGUAGGUAGUCUAGUGGUUAGAGUGUAGAGGUGGCAGGUAGCCUAGUGGUUAGAGUGUAGAGGUGGUAGGUAGCCUAGUGGUUAGAGUGUAGAGGAGGUAGGUAGCCUAGUGGUUAGAGUGGGGAGGCAGGUAGCCUAGUGGUUAGAGUGUAGAGGCGGCAGGUAGCCUAGUGGUUAGAGUGUACAGGAGGUAGGUAGCCUAGUGGUUAGAGUGGGGAGGCAGGUAGCCUAGUGGUUAGAGUGUAGAGGCGGCAGGUAGCCUAGUGGUUAGAGUGUAGAGGAGGCAGGUAGCCUAGUGGUUAGAGUGUAGAGGUGGCAGGUAGCCUAGUGGUUAGAGUGUAGAGGUGGUAGGUAGCCUAGUGGUUAGAGUGUAGAGGAGGUAGGUAGCCUAGUGGUUAGAGUGGGGAGGCAGGUAGCCUAGUGGUUAGAGUGUAGAGGUGGCAGGUAGCCUAGUGGUUAGAGUGUAGAGGUGGCAGGUAGCCUAGUGGUUAGAGUGUAGAGGUGGCAGGUAGAGUAGUGGUUAGAGUGUAGAGGUGGCAGGUACCCUAGUGGUUAGAGUGUAGAGGUGGCAGGUAGCCUAGUGGUUAGAGUGUAGAGGUGGCAGGUAGCCUAGUGGUUAGAGUGUAGAGGUGGCAGGUACCCUAGUGGUUAGAGUGUAGAGGUGGCAGGUAGCCUAGUGGUUAGAGUGUAGAGGUGGCAGGUAGAGUAGUGGUUAGAGUGUAGAGGUGGCAGGUACCCUAGUGGUUAGAGUGUAGAGGUGGCAGGUAGCCUAGUGGUUAGAGUGGAGAGGUGGCAGGUAGCCUAGUGGUUAGAGUGUAGAGGUGGCAGGUACCCUAGUGGUUAGAGUGUAGAGGUGGCAGGUAGCCUAGUGGUUAGAGUGGAGAGCGGCAGGUAGCCUAGUGGUUAGAGCGUAGAGGUGGCAGGUACCCAAGUGGUUAGAGUGUAGGGGGGGCAGGUAGCCUAGUGGUUAGAGUGUAGAGGUGGCAGUGUAGCCUAGUGGUUAGAGUGUAGGGGGGGCAGGUACCCUAGUGGUUAGAGUGUAGAGGUGGCAGGUAGCCUAGUGGUUAGAGUGGAGAGGUGGCAGGUAGCCUAGUGGUUAGAGCGUAGAGGUGGCAGGUACCCAAGUGGUUAGAGUGUAGGGGGGGCAGGGUAGCCUAGUGGUUAGAGUGUUGGACUAGUAUCCGAAAGGUUGCAAGAUCGAAUUCCUGAGCUGACAAGGUAAAAAAUCUGUCAUUCUGCCCCUAAAAAAGACAGUUAACCCACUGUUCCCCGGUAGGCUGUCAUUGACAAUAAGAACUUGCUGUUAACUGACUUGCCUUGUUAAAUACAACAGAUGUGCCCUCUGUCUCACAAUAGCAACAAACUGGGAUCUUUUCUUUGUUUGUUUACAUAAUGAAUCGAAUCAAAUCAAAUGUUAUUUGUCACAUGCUUGGUAAACAACAGGUGUAGACUAACAGUGAAAUGCUGACUUACGGGUCCUUCCCAACAACGCAGCAUAAGCAUGGUGUCAAUAGCGACAAUUGUUUCAUCUUUUGUUUAAGAAAUGAAAAGAGAGAUCAUCAAAUCCUUUGCAUGUUUUAUUUUUAUUUUCUUGAUUAUUUUUUCAACAAUCAACUCACAUGGUC
rnacentral:lncRNA from 1 species